rnacentral:rRNA from 1 species
CCCGCCUGCAUGAAGUCGGAAUUGCUAGUAAUCGCGGAUCAGCAUGCCGCGGUGAAUACGUUCCCGGGCCUUGUACACACCGCCCGUCACACCAUGGGAGCCGGUAAUACCCGAAGUCAGUAGUCCAACCACGUGAGGACGCUGCCGAAGGUAGGAUUGGCGACUGGGGUGAAGUCGUAACAAGGUAUC